AACCACUACAAUGUGUGGGGAUAAUGGCGGUAGUGGGAAAUUGAGAAUCUAUAGUGGAAUAUGGAGGUUACAACCUCUCAUGUGUUAGGAUAAGAAGACCCAUUUUACCAUAUUAUUUACAACAAAUAUUAUUUUUUACUUUGUUAUUUGUAAAUAUAUUAUCUAAUUAAAUUGAUUGCAUCAAUCUCUAUCUAAAUAUUUCAUAAUUACUUGGAUAUUUAUAAUUAAUACAAUGAAUAGUUUAGCAUUACGACGUAAUUGUCUAAUGAGAAUUAUCUCUAAUGGGUAUUAUGAUAUUUUAAACCCUAAAAGACACAAAAUUAUUUUUAUAUAUAAGAUAGAUAUAAAAUAUUAAUUUGUUACCAUGAUUUAUGGUUGAUAUUAAGGACAAUGAAAUCAUCCAAUCGUCCAAAAUUGUAAAAAAACAUGGAUGAUUUAAAUUGAAAAUUUGUUAAUUUACGAAGGAUAUAUAAUAGUCAUAUGUAUUAGCCAAAAUUUUAAAAAAUUAAGCUAUUUUAAAGUAUAUAUGUGAACUAAAUAUUCUUCUAAAAUAUUAAAUAAUAUUCGCAUAAAAGUAAAAUGAUAUUAUUCUUCGAAAAAGAUACGUAGAUUUUGGGACCAAAAAAUCUGGAUACUUCAUUAACGUAUUUAUUAAACUUGAUUAUAUUAAAUAAAAUAAAAUAAAAAGAAGUAAUUAAAUAAACAAAUGACAAUUAUAACUAUCAAAUGAGCGGCAAACAUUUCCUAAAGUUUACCAGGACCAACCUUACUUUUAUUAAUAAGAUAUAUAAGGAUUUAUUAAACUUGAUUAUAUUAAAUGAAAGUAAAAAAAAAAAAGUUUAAAUAAAUAACAAUUAUAACUAUCAAAUAAGUGGAAAAAAUUUCCAAGGAUUUACAUUAAUAAGGUAGAACCAAAUGUUUUACUAAGUUAUUAAAUAAUCUCAUAAAAAUAAUAUUAAAUAAAUGAGGGAUAAUUUUAGUACCUGAUAUAAUCGAGAAGAGGAGAUCGAGAGGAUUAUUGCCGACUAUUUUGAGCAUAUUUUCCGAUCCACUAAUCCGAGGGAGAAUGAAAUAGAUAAGGUGUUGGAACAGUUGGAACCGAGGGCGACAAGCGAGGCGGCCCAAAUACUUUAUACCCCUUUUUCUAGCGGCCGAGGUAAAUCAAGCCACUAGUGGCAUGGCCCCUCUUAAAUCUUCUGGCCCGGGCGGCCUUCCCAUUCUAUUUUUCACCAAAUACUAGCUCAUCCUAGGAUCUAGUGUCACAUCUUGUCUGCUAGACUUCUUAAAUAAAAAAAAUAUUGCCCCUAGCUCUUCACUUCACUUUUAUAGUCUUAAUUCCCAAAAUUUAAUAACCCAGAAAAAAUCACAGAUUAUAGACCCAUUAGCCUUUGUAAUGUUAUUUAUAAAAUUGGUUCCAAAGUUAUUGCAAACAGGCUUAAGCGUAUUCUAAAUGAUAUUAUUUCUCCUACAUAGUCAGCCUUUGUUCCUAAACGCCUUAUUACUUACAACGUUCUAGUUGCAUACGAAGUGAAUCAUUUUAUUAAAACGAAUACUAGUAGUCGGCUGAACUUUAUGGUGGUUAAACUUGAUAUUAGCAAAGAAUACGAUCGGAUUGAAUGAAUUUUUUAGAGAAAAGUUCUUACCCGUCUUGGUUUCUUACCUGAUUUAUUGAUCUUAUUUUGCUUUGUAUUUCGUUCUGUCUCUUAUUUUUUUUUUUGUUUAAUGGUUCGCAGUUUGGCUCUUUGUCUCUUUCUAGGGGUCUUCGACAAGGCGGUCCUCUUUAUCCAUAUUUAUUUAUUUGUUGUGCAGAGGUCUUGAAUGUCCUGAUCCAAUGAGCGGUGGAAAGAUGAGAAUCACAGGGUGUUAAAAUUGCUCCGACGGCACUCCCUAUUUCAAAUUUUUGUUUCGCCGAUGACACCCUCAUUUUUUGCCAGGCUAGUGAAGGUGAUUCAACCACGCUAAAAAGAAUUUUGGAUAAAUAUGAAAGAAUAUCCGGCCAAGAGAUCAACUACGAGAAGACUACUAUGUGUUUCAGCCCGAACACACAUUUGGUUACAAAAUAGUCUAUACACAAUCUAUUGGGGUUUCCGGUGGUGGAUCGACAUGAGAAAUAUCUGGGCAUGCCGACUUCUUUGGGGAAGUCACGGAAGGACAUAUUUCAAUACCUCCGAGACCGUCUAUGGACUAAGAUCAACGGUUGGGGGGAAAAGAAAUUAUAUCAAGUAGGCAAAGAAGUGUUGAUCAAAGCGAUACUUCAAGCCAUUCCCUCAUACAUGAUGAGUUGUUUUGCUCUGCCAAUGGGUCUCAUUAGGGAACUAGAGUCAGCUAGUCGAAGUUUUUGGUGGGGGUGAUGCAAACAAAAAAAUGGCUUGGAUGUCGUGGAAAAGGUUAUAUUUACCUAAAUCGCAAGGAGGAAUGGGAUUUCGGGACUUAAGAAGCUUCAAUCAUGCAUUACUUGCCAAACAAGUGUGGAGAGUCUUGACAGAGCCACACCUUCUCCUUUCCAAAAUCCUCAAGGCUAGGUCCUUCCCUAAUUGUGAUGUCCUACGAGCGGCAACUGGCACGCGCCCAUCGGCUUCAUGGUGAAGCAUGCUCAAAGCUCGUCUGUAUCUUAUGCAGGGACUCCGCCCACGCAUUGGAGAUGGUACGGACACGUCUAUUUGGUUCGAUCCUUGGAUUUGUGAAGACGGGAAUUUUAAAGUACUGACUAAACGAUCGGUGAUGACUAACUUUCCUGAUAGGGUGUCGGACCUCGUUGACAAACAUACCCGAUCAUGGAAAGUUGAGCUCAUUGAUGAAGUGUUCUGGCAGGUUGAUCGAGAGAGGAUUUUGGCAGUUCCAGUCGGAAGUCGAAGAGCGGAAGACAGGUGGAUUGGGCUAAUAUUCGCAUGAACAAGACGGACGGUUUGGGCUUUACACUUGUGAACUUAACAAAGCCAGAUAUAAAACCAAGUCCUUUUGUUCUGCCAUGUCAAGUAUUACAAGCUUUUUACGUUGAUGAUCCACGUGAUAGGCCAUGGGUGGUUCCGAUUGUUAUUAAACCAAGAGACAACUUUGCUUUGACUCCUGAUGAUCUCAAUGUAGUUGAAGAUGAAUGUUAUGAGAUACUUCCUAUAAAUAAUGACAUAAAUGCUAUAGAUGAUAUGGAAGAGUGACUAAUUCUAUUUGUUGUUCUAAUAUUUUUUUGAAGUCUUGUUAAUUAGCUUGUUUGGAUUGUAAUCUACUUGUUUUAAUGUUAUCAUUUUAUUUGCCAUAAUUUAUUAUUGUUUUAAAUUUAUUUCUAUAUAUAUUUCUGUAUAUGUGUAUCUUAUUUUCUUUCUCAGGCGAGCAAUGUCGGCGGAAGAUAUUUCUGUUGAGCCUAUAGGUGAUGAGUCUACAAGCCCGAUAUAGUUGAUUUGGAGUUUGACGGUAUGGGUAUUCCCGUUGCACCCGGGAGGUACAAGUUGGCUGUGGCAAUUAGUAACGAGGUUACACAUUGGGACAAUUUUGAUCCGUCUAUUUCAUGGCCUAAGCACAAGAAAGAGGGUCGUGUCGAAGGAUUGUGGAAAGCAUUUAAGGUAUUUGAAAGUUCAAAUUAUUUUAUUUACUUCUGUUAUUAAAAUUAUUUUGUUAUCAAUUAAUUAUGGAUUUUUUUGUAUGCCUUUUAGGGAACGUGGAAACUUCCUGAAAAUGAGGCUACGAAGAAAUGGUUCAACGAGAUUGCCAAUUGUCGUUGGAAAGAUGCAAAAAAUAAAAGAUUGAAGGCGGUUUUUGAUAAAGCGCCUAACCUUGCAGCUGCUAAGGCAAAUCGUCCGAAUAGGAUUAGCGCUCAAACAUGGGAGAGGCUAUGUGAUCAGUUUCAUUCUAUUUCAACUCCGGGGAUGAUGGGAAGGUAAAUUUUAUGCUUUUAAUUUAUAAUUAUAUUUUCAUAUAUUUAUGUGUAUUAAUUUGUGCAAUAUUUUUCACAGUCCAAGUCCACUAAAUGCAAGGACUCGAGAAAGAAAGUGUCGACAAACCACCAUUGGGGUCGAACAAGUAUCAAUAGUUGGUCCUAUAAGUUGCUUAAUCUAUAAUUUUAAUUUAUUUAAGUUUAUAUAAAAUACCUAGUUAUUGUAUAAUCUAUUUUUUAGUUUAAAAAGUUUGGCAAAAAUCCUACCAUGUUUGAUACGUAUAAGAAAGCAUACAUGGGCAUUGAGAGGGAAACUGGACCAUCUAUAACGGGACAGCAACUCCUGAACAACUUCUCAUUUCGGCUGAUUUGGAGCGAGUUUAUGAUGAGACCAUGCGUGAUGGAAGUGACGAAAGCACGGCCAACUCGACUGCAAUUGAAAAGGUUUUGGGAAAGAGUAAAGGCCUUGGAAUUAAAAGUUCAAGCACAAGGAUUGGAAAGUCGAGAUUUUCUUCAACACCAUCAGACGUGGAGAUUCAACUGGAGAUUCAAAUGAAGGCAAUGCAAGAACAAAUGCAAAUGAAAGACGAACAAGUGAAUCGAUUGGAACAACAAUUGAACGAAAACCGAGAAACAAAUAAAGUUAAAGAUGAAAAAGUUGAUCGAUUAGAACAACAAUUGCAGGAAACCCGAGCUCUUUUGAACAACUUGCUCGAGCGUUUUAAUGGUGGAGUAUAAAAACGAGAUGAAAUUAGUGUGCCUCUUGAACUAAUACAUUUAUGGUUUCAAGUUUUUAUGUAAUUUUUGAAUUGAUGUUUGUGUUGUAUUUUGAUAUUUAAUUGGUAAUCGUGGUUUUAAA